UAAACAGCCCAUCUACCUACCUCAUCCCCAUACUGGUAUUUAUUUAUCUUGCUCCUUUGCACCCCAGUAUCUCUACCUGCACAUUCAUCUUCUGCACAUCUACCAUUCCAGUGUUUUAAUUGCUAUAUUGUAAUUACUUCGCCACCAUGAGCCUAUCUAUUUCCUUAUCUUACUUAUCUUACCUCAUUUGCACUCACUGUAUAUAGACUUUUUUGUUUUAUUUUGUUCUAUUGUGUUAUUGACUGAAUGUUUUGUUUAUUCCAUGUGUAACUCUGUGUUGUUGUUUGUGUCGCACUGCUUUGCUUUAUCUUGGCCAGGUCACAGUUGUAAAUGUGAACUUGUUCUCAACCGGCCACGCCUACCUGGUUAAAUAAAGGUGUUCUCAACUAGCCUACCUGGUUAAAUAAAGGUGUUCUCAACUAGCCUACCUGGUUAAAUAAAGGUGUUCUCAACUAGCCUACCUGGUUAAAUAAAGGUGUUCUCAACUAGCCUACCUGGUUAAAUAAAGGUGUUCUCAACUAGCCUACCUGGUUAAAUAAAGGUGUUCUCAACUAGCCUACCUGGUUAAAUAAAGGUGUUCUCAUCUAGCCUACCUGGUUAAAUAAAGGUGUUCUCAACUAGCCUACCUGGUUAAAUAAAGGUGUUCUCAACUAGCCUACCUGGUUAAAUAAAGGUGUUCUCAACUAGCCUACCUGGUUAAAUAAAGGUGUUCUCAACUGGCCUACCUGGUUAAAUAAAGGUGUUCUCAACUAGCCUACCUGGUUAAAUAAAGGUGUUCUCAACAGGCCUACCUGGUUAAAUAAAGGUGUUCUCAACUAGCCUACAUGGUUAAAUAAAGGUGUUCUCAACUAGCCUACCUGGUUAAAUAAAGGUGUUCUCAACUGGCCUACCUGGUUCAAUAAAGGUGUUCUCAACUAGCCUACCUGGUUAAAUAAAUGUGUUCUCAACUAGCCUACCUGGUUAAAUAAAGGUGUUCUCAACUAGCCUACCUGGUUAAAUAAAGGUG